GCCUGAGUGGUUCAGUCAGUUGAGCAUCUGACUUCUGCUCAGGUCCUGAUCUCGCGGUUCGUGAGUUUGAGUCCUGCAUCAGGCU
rnacentral:tRNA from 1 species